UGAAAGUUCAGAUAUAGAUGAUCAGAGCACAGGAUCAAACCUGGUUAAAAGGCACCCACAGAAGAAAAGUGAACAAAAGAAGAAGGCAGUGAAAGAAACAGAGGCACCCAAAGUUGAAGAGGAGUGAAGCAGAGAGGACUGCUGUCAACAAACAGGUUCAUAGCACAGCUCCGAGUUCCAGGUAAAGAGGACUGUGUCUAAUAUCACAAGAGAGAGAAUCCUUGGAUCAAAGGUCUACUUCUAUUUUUCUACUUUUAAUUUCUGGUUGAGCCAAUAAGUGGCAUGUUAGUGUUCUGAUGUCGAUUGGUUAAAAGUGGUGGAAUAUAACUAAGCACAUAUGCUCAAGUACUGUUCUUGCAGAUAUAAUUUAAUCUAAAUUUAACUAGCUUCUUUUCUUUUUUAAAGAAAUUGAAGUGGAAACUGGGAUCAAGGAGCCACCUACUGUUGAAAUAUUGCAUUUGUUUGUCUCUGAGUAUAGCUAGCAGAAAGUGUGGUCCUCACUCCCUCACUGUGGUACUCAUAAAGGAAUGUCUGUGUGUGUUUGUGUGUGUCUGUUUGUGUGUUUUCUCAUCAGGAAACUGUUUACUGAGCUCAUUCUCCAUUAGAGUGAAUGGGAUCAGUUUAUAUUGCAGCCAGUGGAGCUCCCCCUGCUGGACAAUACAUAGAAUGCAGGUUUAAGACACUUCAGCAUUGGCUUCACUUUUCAGACCCAGAAGCUCUGUCCAUAUAUAUACAGUCAAUGGGACAGUCUCAUGAGUGUAAUUUCUGGUUGCAGCAGGAAGCUGUUUUCAACCAUAUAAAGAGUUCUACAAAGCCACUGUACAGUCAAUGAAUUAUACGGUAAACUGCAACAACAUUUCCCAAUGUUGGUCAUUUCAACAGUUACUUCCACACCCCAACAUUAACAUAUGUGAAUGUGAUCCCCUCUCACGGGUGUCAACUGCCCCUAGCACAGACAGGAAGUACCCAGCCACAGUGCAUCAACCUCCCGGAGCUGGUCAGGCUUGUGAUAACAGCAGAUCUGCAUUAUCAAUAAUAUACAUAAUAAUCCUUUGAUAUUAAAACCCAAUACUGAUGCACAAUCACAGCAGCAGGUGGCAGACUUG